UUCUGCGUUCUCACUUGGACACUGCGUCUCAGAGACAGAAGGAAGGGCCACAGCCUCUGCCACAGACCCUAAGUCGGUAGCCACCAGACAGCCAAGGCCCUUGUCCCCACGGGUGCCAAACAAGGACUCAGGAAUACCGCCCCUCCCCCUGUGGACUCCGCAGCCCAUCCUGCAGGGGCCCUAGGACUCCUGCGAAGCCGGCCAGACACUCCCAGGUGGCUCGGCCCAGCGAGCUCCGGGACCCCGCGCGUCCCUCCCGCGUCGCACCCGCGCUCUUUCCUCGCCACCCAGUUCAAGGAUGUGCCCUCCGAGGAACGAAGGGUUUUGUGUUUUAGAAGUCGACUUUGGGCAAGAGUAAGGGCGCCCUGCCGCACCGGGUCAGCUGGGCCGGCAGCGUCACUUCCGGACGAGACGCCAGGCCACGCCCCUCCUGCCGAUCCCACAACGACCGCUUAGCAAUUUUAAGAUUCACCGUAAGGUGGUAAGGCGGGUGACCGUGUGGCGGGCCUGCGGUGUGCCCGCCGCCCCCGAUGAAGACGGGAAAGCACUGGAGCGGAGGCUCCCUGUGGGCUCUUGCUCUCCCCCAGCGCUGCCUCACCAGAUAUCAGCCAGGGAGUUGGUUCCUUUGUCGCCCUAUACCAACUCCUUGCGUUUCAAAUGCUUUGCGACAGAAAAGAAAGAACAGUAAUGCCAAAUGGAGGCAUCAGUCUGAACGGCCUUGUCCCCAGCUUUAUUAAAUCUGCUCUUCGAGUGUGUGAAGUUGGCCGGCCUCCCCAGCAGCGGUCAGCUGGACCCCAGCUGCUCCGACCAACGUGGCCUGCCUUAUAAACCAUGGAGCCAGAAUCUCCCCGUGACGCAUGGGUGACAGCGACCUUCUUCCA